UUCAGUAUAUAAACGUAACCCGCUAAAUUGCACGUUAAGCGUAUCCCCCAUAGAAAGGAAUAAACGCUUAACGGGCCAAUACAGUAUAAGGGGGCCGAAUUCGGUAUACAGUUUGUUAAUACAUUUUAAAUGUAGGAAAGCAGGUAAGCCCUGAAUAUGAACAGAAAGCUCUAAAUUGCAUGUUAAGCCUUUUCCUCCCAUAAAGAAAACGCGGCUUUAUGAAGACGUUUAUAAAAAAAAAAGACCAAAUAUGGAAUUAUUAAAAAUAUAAAUGUACCUGCAAAGCAGAUGAGCCCAGAAUAUGAGCUCAUAGAAAACCGCGCUAUAUUUGCUAUAUUGCCCCUUUAAGUUGAUUUACAUGUGCAUUUUUUACUGUUAGAGAGGUUAGAAGUUUUUCUAGCCUUAACUGUAUGUCAUGCAUGUCAUAUUCUUACCAUUUCAUUAACUAUAUUAAUAUAAUAAAUAAAGCAAUAAAUAAUGGCAAAACGAAGUGAUACUUGUAGAUUCAAACUAAAUCGCCAGUAGGUGGCGGCAUGUCACUGUCUUAAUGAGCAAAGCCUCGCGUCAUUCAUUCAUUCAAUAACUAAGCAAAUGGUUGUGGUUAUGAAUGGGUUAUUAAUCACGGACUCUCCGAAUGGUUCAAAGCUGCAGAUUAAUUCAGCAACUAAACACCGCUGUUUCUUGGAGAUACACCAGUUCUGUUGCGAAUUUCGUUGGAACUAUUAUCAUUUCGUUAAAUAUAACAAACAUCAUGUGUUUAAAAUGUAGGUUACAUUUAAAAUGUCACUUAAUACUACCCUUAUUGUUGAACUGCUAAAUAAAAUUAGUGUUGCAUUUGCAGUCGUUUGGAUAUUGCAUUCUCGUAUUUUAAACAUGAAAAACAAUAACUCGCACAGGGUAUUUUUCUGUAUGGAAGAGAGUUUUUUCAGCUAUUUGAUGGCGCCGGCGCAUCAAGCGCACAUAUUCAUUGCAAACAUCGCAGCCUGUUCAUUAUUAAAAUAAUACACAGAAUCACCCAAACAGAUAAAAAGUUACACUAGUCAAUUUAAAAAGUCUGUAUUAGUCUGUGCCACUGCGGCACAGUUUUUGUUCACUAUGAUUUUUUUCACGUCGAUAUUUGAACGUACAAAGCCCGGUUAAUUUAAUGGUUUAGCUUCAAAUACAUUGCUAAUAUGGAAACAUUUGGAUUUGUGCUGAAGGAGAGCGAUACAUGAGCCUAAAAUAGCCUAGGAUAUGUGUGUUUAUAAUGUUGGUAUUAUAACACGCUGUAGGCCUGCUGGUAGUAUUAUUUCUGAAUAAAAUGCGACUAUAGGCUACGUGACUUAUUUGUUUUAUUUUUCCUUUCAAAAACUUAAAAUUGUUAUUUUUUUUUUAAAACAAGCAGCAAACAAAUUAACCAUGGUUUUACUACAAAUAAAACCAAAAAAACAUGGUUACUAUACUUAAACCAUUGUAACUACAAAUACCUCUUAAUUCGUCCAUUUGCCUCCCUUAAGCGUUUUCUGUAACCUAAAGGUUUUCUGUGGGGAGAAAAAGCAUUAGCAAGUUGCAUUUAUGGCUGCUUUAUUGAGAGUAAUGCUAAGGGUAUUAAUAUUAAAACUGUUAGAACAGCAUUUAUUAAUACCGAAUUGGGCCUCCGCUGUCACUGUUUUAGUACAUCAAUCCACAUUAAGCGUUUUAGAAUGUUCCAAAAUCGUGCCUUAAACUCAAUUUAAACGCAAUUAAAUGACUGUAUUUCUAUAAUAGGCCACUUGAGUCCAAGUUCAGUAUAAAACUCUUAUGAUCCGCUCCGUUGUGAACAUACUGAGCUGAGUAAACAGGAAGUGUUUGUCCGAACUCAACCGGUUUUGCGAGAGAACGCAAAAGUUUUGCGAGGGAACGCAAACAUCUUUGCGAGAGAACACAAGUUUCUACGCAAAACAAAUUCCUCUCACCCUGAAUUUUUUCCACCCAUCCCGAUUUUUUCCCCACCACCAUGUCCCUUAAGGGGCUCCGUAGAUAUGGAUUCAAAAUGCUAGCUAUUAAAUUAUAGAGAGACCUACAUUCGAUUUUUUUUUUUUUCAUAUAUUUAUAAAGCCAGAGUAGACUGACUGAUUUUACAUUCAUGGUGCAUUUUUGUGCAUCUCCGUUUUAGUUUAAUCUGAAAACAGAAUUACCUUGGAUGCAGUAAAAUGCCCAGAUGAAGAGAAUAAUAAUUGCUUCUGAUUUAAUGUGAACAGUUUUACUUGUUAAAAGUGUUCACAGGACUGUAAACACUCCCUGAGCACUGAGGCAUGAGCUGCCAAUGCAAAAUAUCAUUACAGUGGAAAAACCCUUACUGAACUAAAAUAUCUUCUCACUUAUAUGGGGUUGGACAUUGUAAUAUAUACAUUUUUUUUUUUAAUCAUGAGUUAAUUAUCAUGGUUUAAAACUUGAUGCUUGAAUGAGAAUUAAUUUUAAUGGUGGAUGUUAAGUGGAGAACCAAACUGAGUGUUGGAACUCCCACUCUCAUGGUGCUGCCGCCUUCCAGUGACGAGCUGCAGCAGGGUAAGGCUACAGUGGUGUGUGUGGCCAGUAAGGGUUCCUCCUCUGACUGGAAGCUGAGCUGGAAGGUGGACGGCAGCAGCAGGAUCUCUGGUGUCAGUCUGAGUCCCGGUGAGCUGCAGAAGGAUGGACUGUACAGCUGGAGCAGCAGCCUGAGCCUCACUGAGAGUGAGUGGAGCAGAGUAACAACCGUCAGCUGUGACGCUACUCGCGGAUCUGACUAUCUAGUCACCAAAAGCCUGAAUACACAGCAGUGUCUUGAAUGAAAUACAUACACACACAGCCAUUACAGAGGACACACUCUGUCCUAAAUAAAUCUAUACUCAGCAAUUAAUCUUUCAUGCUGUUUGGAUAUUGUUCUUUUAUUCUUAUCUUUUGCAAUUCCACAGCUGCAAUGCUAUCAAUGUUUUGUUGAUCAUUUUAUUCUUGCUGCUAAAUAAAAGCAUUUUGACUCAAA